rnacentral:rRNA from 1 species
AUACGGAGGGUCCGAGCGUUAAUCGGAAUUACUGGGCGUAAAGCGCGCGUAGGUGGUUCAGUCAGUCAGAUGUGAAAGCAACGGGCUCAACCUGGGAACUGCACCUGAUACUGCUGAGCUAGAGUACGGUAGAGGGCAGUGGAAUUUCCGGUGUAGCGGUGAAAUGAGUAGAGAUCGGAAGGAACACCAGUGGCGAAGGCGACUGCCUGGACUGAUACUGACACUGAGGUGCGAAAGCGUGGGUAGCAAACAGGAUUAGAUACCCUGGUAGUCCACGCCGUAAACGAUGUCAACUAGCCGUUGGGGGACUUGAUCCUUUAGUGGCGAAGCUAACGCGAUAAGUUGACCGCCUGGGGAGUACGGCCGCAAGGUUAAAACUCAAAUGAAUUGACGGGG